AUUGAACGCUGGCGGCAUGCCUUACACAUGCAAGUCGAACGGCAGCACGGGAGCAAUCCUGGUGGCGAGUGGCGAACGGGUGAGUAAUAUAUCGGAACGUGCCCAGUCGUGGGGGAUAACGUAGCGAAAGCUACGCUAAUACCGCAUACGAUCUAUGGAUGAAANCGGGGGAUCGCAAGACCUCGCGCGAUUGGAGCGGCCGAUAUCAGAUUAGGUAGUUGGUGAGGUAAAGGCUCACCAAGCCGACGAUCUGUAGCUGGUCUGAGAGGACGACCAGCCACACUGGGACUGAGACACGGCCCAGACUCCUACGGGAGGCAGCAGUGGGAAUUUUGGACAAUGGGCGCAAGCCUGAUCCAGCAAUGCCGCGUGCAGGAUGAAGGCCUUCGGGUUGUAAACUGCUUUGUACGGAACGAAACGGUGAGCUCUAAUACAGUUCGCUAAUGACGGUACCGUAAGAAUAAGCACCGGCUAACUACGUG
rnacentral:rRNA from 1 species